GUGCUAUGUUAAUAGAGAGAAAGUUAGCACUCCCUUUGAUAAGAUGAGAAGAAGGUCCUAGUAAUUUUU
ensembl:snRNA